GGGGUGGCUGGUUCUGGGGCUGGGAUUGGAACUGUGUUUGGGAGCCUCAUCAUUGGUUAUGCCAGGUGCAUCCACGGAGUGGGCUUCAAGAAGCGUUCCCCUUGGGCAUGCAAAGAGAUCUGGAAAUUUGCCAUGAAGGAGAUGGGAACUCCAGAUGUGCGCAUUGAUACUAGACUCAACAAAGCUGUCUGGGCCAAAGGAAUAAGGAAUGUCCAAGACCUUAUCCGUAUGCGGUUGUCCAGAAAACAUAAUGAGGAUGAAGAUUCACCAAAUAAGCUCUAUACUUUGGUUACCAAUGUACCCGUUACCGCUUUCAAAAAUCUACAGGCAAUGUGGAUGAGAACUAACUGCUGAUAGUCAGAUACAUCAAAUAAAGUUAUAAAAUUGCUUUCAAAAAUAAAAAUAA
rnacentral:sRNA from 1 species